CCACCUCCAAUGGAAGCAUCUCUUGUGACUGUUCCAAUAUCGUUUGGAGAUCUGUAACUUCCCAUGCAAGUUAACCUAAAUUCAUCAUCCAGAUGCCAUUUUUGCUAUCCGAUAACAACAACAAUGAGUUUCGACACUAGCAGCCGACGGAAUUGUGGCGGACAUCGAAGCUUUCGAUGGUGAUUUCUGUUUUACUACUUGGACAACUGAUCUCUUUCAUACUAGCACUUAUGAACUUCACUUCAUCUCUAUCCGCUAAUCUCGUAAUGAGGUACCUAGAAGAUACUAGCCGAUCAUUUGCAAAGAAUACGUGUUAUUUCUUUCUCAGAGCCUCUGCAAGAAGCGAAAUAAUAGCCCUGUAGUUGUCAUACAUCGGGUUACAAGAUAUGAUUAACCUUAGAGAUAAAAGACAAAGGAAGAUGACAUUGAGGGAUGCGGCAUUGGAGGAGGACCGGGCCACCACGGUUCGGGGUGGAGGCCGUGGCGGUGGCCGAAGCCAAUGGGGAGGACAAGAGGUCGGGGGCAGAGGCCGGGGCCGAGGCCAAAGGGGAAGGGGAGGACGAGAGGCGGGCAGAGGCCGCUAGGGCGUUGGCCGAGGCCAAAGGGGUCGUUACUCAUUACUCUUUACAGCUUAUUAGACUUUGAUACAUAAAUAAAUAAACAAGCAGGUAUACAUUGGCUUGAA